rnacentral:misc_RNA from 1 species
UUUUUCCUUCAGUGUAUCAGCAAUUUUCAUACAUAAACUAAAGGGUUCAGGUGAACAUCUGAUAUGGUGUAGUUAGUGGAUGAAAAACUUACCACUGAAGUUUGAUUAAUAGAAAAUGGGCAUUGAUGCAUUGAUAACUUUCCCUCUGGAGUAUGUUUCAGUCCUGUUAAUAGCUGAUAUUAGAACCUGAAUUUGUUAUGGUAAACGUAAUGACUAUACUGGAUCUAAGAGUUGCUGUGUUGUGCUGUAGUCAGAUAAUCAAAAGAUGAACUGUAAUGUUUAUAUGUAGGAAUUUAUAAUGAAACACUUAAACAAUGUGCUUUUACCAAAUGUGAAAGUAAUGAUAUAAUGGUAUUACCAAGUCUAUGGACAUUUGUUUUGCCUAAUUUAUCACAACUCAGAUAAAAGCUACCUAUGGAAUCUUUGAGAGUACUUUCUCCUCCUUUUCUUAGAAAUUUGAUGCAGAAUGGAUGUCAGGAAAGUGUUAAAUAAAUAGGAAUUUGAAGUUUUGAUGUGAGUUGCACUUUUGGUUGAGAAAGAGAGGAAGGAGGAAGAUUAUUGUGCAAUAAAUCACAUCUUUUUUCCUUGAAUUAUAUGUUAAGAACUUUUCUGAAUGCUGUUUUUCCAUACCUCAAUCUUCAAAUGCCGUAAUGUUAAAUCCUUUGUCUCAUUCUUAAUUGGCCUAGCCAUAUGGAUCCAAAAGGCUUAUUUUUCUGCUGAUGACCAUAGGUAUAGAAGAGUGGAAUGCUAGUACAAGGAUGUAUCUCUGGAAGGAUAAAUUUUUUAGCAUCUAAAUAUUGUUUCCGUUAUAGCACCUUAGUUUAACUGCGGAGGCUCUUAGGUGAACAGCACCAACAUAUUGUGUGAAGUAUUUGUCCUACUCGAAGAUUCUAAUUAUGAACUUCCUUUAUGCUUAUAAAGUGUGUAAAGGCAACCAGUACUUAAUUGGUAUACUCUUGGAUUUGUACUACAUGUUGAAUAUGGUAGUUCAGUCAAUGCCUGUAUUCAUUUGUUAUGGCUUUAAUUUGAAAUGAUUGGGGUGCCGCUCAUUUUGCAGGAAGGAGCAUCUCAACAGCUAU